rnacentral:pre_miRNA from 1 species
GAACAGUUACAACGUAGAAAAAACAGAGAGAGGAAAAGACAUACCCACCGCUUUUCCUCUCUCAGUUUUUUCUACGCUGUAACUGUUCAG